GCACGGGGACGGGGACGGGGCCUUGCCUCCCCUUCCCGCCGAGCGCAGGGGACGCGGCGAGGGGAGGAAGAAGCGGGCGCCGCACACUCCGCGCAGAGAGCUCCUCCCGCGCCCUGCGCCGACCCGGCCGGUCCGGGGCGCCUGGGCGGGAUGCCCUGCCCUGCUCGGGGGCUGGAGCUAGGCUCCCUGCGGCCCCAGCGAGCCCCUUUCCCUCUGGGUUUGCAGCCAGGCAGAGCUCAGGGCGGUGUGCGGGACGGGGUCGCUGAUCUUCCCCGGGCUGCGGAUUACGCCUGAGACGUUAAGAGUGAUUUGUAAAAAUUUCUGUAACUUGUGAAUUUCGUCUGCUUAACUUUCAAAUAAUACGUUUCAGACAAAAAAAAAAAAAAAGUUCCACACCCACUCAUCUCUUUAAGGCAGAGCAUGAAAGCGCUGAGCGGCUAGGAUUUUGAAGUCUGGGAUGAAGGGCGAGUGGGAGGCAGCGGGAGAGGCAGAUUCUCAGGCGACCCAAACAGAAGCCGGUCGGGAUCGGGCCUCAGGCGCUCGCAGGGACUGAGCUCCAGGGGCCCGCUUGACCUUGCUGAGCCUUGACUUCCCCGUGGUUUAAACAGCGGCACUGCACCUCCUGGAGAUGCCAGGCGCUCGCCCGGCGCACACUGGUUAGGCGUUCACUAUGCUAAUUUCCUUCCUUUUCCUCCCUCACUGUUUGGGGAGGAGAUCAAAUUAGGUCAGAACUGGAGGCGAUCAGGGAGAAGGAAGGCUUGUUUAACCUCCUGUCUUCUCACCAGAGGAGGCAGAGCUCGGGACUUGGCUCUGGCUGGGAGGGUUCUUCAGUGAACCGGCCAGGCAGGGCAGAUGUCUGGAGCCAGAGCUUCGGGCCAAGCAUGGGAGAAGCAAGACGGAGCCAAAUCCACGCUCACCCGGAAAGUUGGGGCUGAGCAUUAGGAGGCACGUCCUAAGUGGAACGAUGAUGAGAAAGGAUCGAACACAUGCUUAACACCAAGGACAGGGUACCACGUGUGGGUCUCUUACUGUUCAGUGAGUUCCAAUGAUGUUAUGGGUUUCACAUAUAGAUUUACUUGUCCUGAUAUCUUAAUAAAGUGGGGACGGUUAUCCUUUUAUAUGUAAGGAAACUGAUGUAUACAGGCAUUAGUAUUUGCAAGAAUGCAAAUCUAGUCAACGGUGAAGCUAAACUCCAAGUCCAUGUGGUUCGUGUCCAGUCUGCGUUUCAGUCACUGCCCUGGACUCCUGCUUGUGCACUUGCUGUGUGUCAUACCACCUUGUGGAAUGUAGUGUUCCAAAGGUUGAAUCGCUCCUUCUUGUAGGACUAAUCAGGAAAAAAGAAAACCAAUGCCACAGGAGUUUGGCAUAGGAACAUGCUCACCCUGCAGACUCCAACACAAGAGUCACAGCGGUGUGCCAGUUCUUCUAGUGCUUCUCACCUCGGAACAGGCUCUGCUCUGCCCUGAAUUCUGGUGUUAAAGAUGGACUCUCUGAACAGUUUGUUGUCAGUUAGCACAAUACAGUGGUGCCUCAGUUCACGAACUUAAUUUGUUUUACUAUUUGGGGGAAUUUGUGUAGAGAAGAUGGCUCUAGUCAUGGUUGUCAGUGGAUGUGGAGUUUGCAAACAGAAGCAUUAGUGAAGGUAUUGCUAUAUUUGGCUUCAUCAGUAGAAGGUACAGCCCAGGGUGUGUGACUCUUAACACGUUUCUUGGCCAACAGGUGGGCAUGGCGUGAUAUACUCUCUCCAGUGAGGGUGACUCCGAUCUGGAGUGCACAGCGCAAGGGGAGUCUUUCUAAGUUCAAUGCUUCCCCACACCCUGGAAGUAGCAGUUGCCCCCUGUACUCACCACUCCUGUGUGCCCUGGUGGUCUCUUUCUCUCUUUUAAUAGUCAGUACUCUUCUACAGCUUAGUAAUUCUUUAUAUUAACCUUUCCUCUUUUCCAGUUAUGUGUGUUUCAGGUAUCCUGAUUGGAACUCAAGUGAUAGAAGGUGAAAGGGAGCCCUCGGAAAUGGAGACCCUGCCUUUAGCUGUGCGACUUGGCCCCAGGCACACUUAACUUCUCAGAGCUUGUCCCUCCGCGUGUGGACAGAGGGUGACCCUAUACAUGACAGGCUUGUUGACGUUCCGUAUAAAAAUGUGAAUGAACUUGAAAACUAUACAGUGCUCUUGGAAUCGAAUACAGUGAUUAGCAGUAGAGGAGUGAAGGUACCAGACAAGAAGAUGGGCCUAUUUUCUUUAAGAAAAAACUUUGCAUGCAUUCUAGAGACUUUAGAUUAACUUGCCACGUUUAUUAGCAUCAAAUGAAUAUAUUAUUUGUUGGUUGGCUUUGAUUCUUCAAAGAUGAAAAAAAUGCUUAUGAGUCUCAAGUUCCUGGCUCUAUAAAAUAUAUGACUGAAAUUACAAGUGUUUUGAAAUGUCAGAUUCAGACUAAUUUGGUUACUUUCUUUUCUGGCAUACCUCACAUUUCCUCUUUCUCGUUUGUCUUCUUUACCCUUCUUGGAUUUCAUGCUUGUGUCAAGAACGAAUUAUUUCUUCACUUAGCACUCUAGGUGCAGAUCAUGAUGCUAGAUACUGCAUGCUCUUCCAAAAGAAAAAUAGUUUUGGAAUCUGAAAAGGCAAAGAAAGAAAGGUAUGUGUGCGUUCCAUUUUAGUGGAGUUCCGGGAGGUGCCAGCUCCACCCUGACUCCCCUGGACCCCUUUGAUUGAGUCUGCGUGUCUCUCCCCCAGCUUCUGUUUUCCCAUCUUCUAGCAGUCUGCACCUGACUCUUUGGACACUGUCCCAAGGCUCAUGGACUCAGUGUGCCUGCAGCAGAGAGAUCUAGAAACAACCACCUUUUGGGAUGGCAGAAGUCCAAGAGGAGUCCCCAGGGGCUACACUUAAAGUGUUAGCGUUUUGCUGCUUCUGCUAACUCCCAAGGAAAAUCUUACUUCUUGUGUUCCUGAUCUUAGAGAGGCCCUGGGUCUUUGGCUUGUCCCUCUGCUCUGUUUUCAAAAUAACAGCAGCAGGCAAGUCUUCUCAUAUCCUUGCUCUGCUACUGUCUCCCUCUUCCACUGUUCAGGAAUCUUGUGAUUACACCACCCCUCCCAGAUAAUCCAGUGUCUAAAUCACCCAGUUAGCCCACCUAGUUCUAUCUAAAGUUGAUUUCUCAUUGCUGAAUUCCCAGGUUCCAGGGAUGACCAUGGGCCUCUGCUAGACCAUUUCCCUGCCAACUGCAGUAUCGGGGAUGCCGUGUCUCUUAGCCUCGCUGUGUCUUCAUUUCAGAUUGCUCACAUCAUCGCCCCAUAUCAUUGUGAGGAUUUUUUUGUCCUGCCUUUUACUUCAAAACUCUCUUGAGCUGCCAGAGAGACAUACCCGAAACCUCUCCCUUUUUUGUUCUAAGUACACAGCAGACUCCACUCCCCUUGUGUUGCUUUGGUUUUUUGUGCCCCUUUUCUAACUCUCCCUGCACCUCUGAGAUUGGAACCCAGGACAGUCGAGCUAAUGUAGGUUCUCCAAGAUAAACACAAGUGGAGAGAGGCCACUUUGAAGCAUCUGCCCUUGGACCCUUGGAGUAGAAGACAGAAACUUAAGACGUCAGCUUCAGCGACGCUCACAUCACCUCCGUGCGGGGCAGUGCCUUGAGGCAAGCUCCCACUGUGCUGGGGCCUGGGACAGCUGCCCCAAUGGCCUGCCCAAGGUCAGCCUGUGUCUGCCCCUCGCUCCUUGUCGCUCUGCUCCUGUACUCCUGCACUGCUCAUAGUUUCUUUGGCUCCCUGGGCCAUUUCUUGGUUAUGUGCUGGCUUGAAAUACGGCCCUGCAUGUGCCUGGUUUAUUUCUGCUCAACCCUAAGGCAUGUCUCCUGGGCCACUUCCUUCCAGAGCCUUCUCUACCCUUUCCUCCGGCUGCAGACGCCACUCUCCUUCAUGUCUUCCACGGCAGGAAUCGAUGCAUAUAUUGAGGAUGGUUUCCACUUCUCAUUCAUCUUUGCGUUCUUUAUACCUGGCACCUUGUCUCACUCAGUGUAGAAACUCAGGGAAAUUUUGCCUAAUGGCAGAUUUAUCCAAAGUGACAGUGUCCAAAAUCUCAUCGUACAACCACUACGUAAUAUGAGUUAUCUAUGGUGCUAAAUUAUGCCUUCAUACUUAUGGUAAUAUAUUGUAAUAGUAAAAUAUAGAAGAGUACAUAUCGAUCAAAAGAUGAACUAUACUUAGCCAUGAACACAAGUUUAAGAAAAGAAACUGAGUCUUCAAGAACUUGGGCCAGCACUGGGUGUGACAGAGAGGUGGUGCUGGUGCUGGUGGUGGGGAGGCAGACUGGAUGCGCUUCAUAGUUAAACUUCGGUGUUCUGAGUAUGAAACUUCCUCUCGUGCAAGUCAUAAUAUUCACACAGAGAUGUGAAUAUGUAUAAGGCACAUUUGUUUAGCGCAAAGUAGAGUUUCUCAAGAGCUUCUGUCAAAAAUCACCUCACUUGUCCCCAGCCAAGAGUAAUUUAAUUUCCUGUCUCCAGUUUUCAUCUAUUACUUAUCCAAGAUUUUAGAUCCUACUCUGUAGCUGGUCCAUAUUUGUGCAACUAUAAAAUAUGACUUUUCCCCUAAACUGCAUCGAAAUGCUAUUGCAGGAAAAUUUAUCCAGUGGUUUCCAGCAUUUUGGGUCCAGCCCAGUGGCUGGGUGUGCCCAGUUUAAGCCCAGUAGUGGGAGCUGCAAGCCCCAGAUCCGAGGGUCUGGGCUGCAGAGGAAUACGUGGGGAUGCUGGAAAGCUUGACUCGUUGGCUUUCUGCAGCAGAGUGGAAAAUGUGAGAAGAAGGAAACACUGACAUCUGGCAUGCAGUCUAGAGGAGAGGAAGAGCCAGGGAAGGGAGCCGAGCCACUGCAGAGUUAUGAUGCUGAGACACUGGGUUCUCCUGAGUCAGACAGGGACAGGACAGGCUUAGACUCCAUAAGAAACAUGAAUCUGCACAUUGUAUCUGGUGUCUUGUCCAUUACAUUCAGAGUGCUAAUGAGCUUGACCUCAAAACCUCAAAUGUUUUGAUGAUUGUACUUUUCAGUUUGUAUCAAUUAAAUCUGCUUGGGAAAGCCACAAGUGUUUUAUUUAGGUUGAGAAUUGAUGUUCAUUGAUUGUGCUUUUGUAUCACAUAGAACCGUCUUAGUAUUCUUUGGUAUUGGGGAAAAAUUCAUGGUUUUUUGUGGUCCCCCCUCCCUCCCUCGCUCAUGUAUUUUGAGGUGGACUUUUGGAAGGUGAUUGGAUCAUGGUGGCAUGAUAUUCAUCAGUGGAUUAACACAUUGAUAAGUUCAUGGCUGAAUGUGCUCCUAGGAGGUUGAGCCUGGUUGGACAUGGUCACUGGGCAAGUGACAUCAAAGGGUGGAUUUUUUCCCUGCUGCUCCCUUCUUUGUCUGCUUUGUGGCUGCCACAAGGUGAGCUUCCUGCCUCUGCCAUACUGUUCCACCGUGCUGUUCCUGCCAUGGAGCCAGCCAACCAUGGACUAAACCCCAGAACUGUAAGACAAAUUAAACCUCUCCUUUAAUUUGUGGAUGUCAGGUAUUGUGUCCCAGGAACAGGAAAGCUGACUAACACACAGUCCAACAAACCUACUUUCACUUGUUUACCUGUCUCUCAAAAGAUCUGGAAAGAUGGAGGGGAAAAGGGUGGACAGGGCAAAGUUUGAUUACUCAUAUCAUUGUUGUGUUAGAUGACUUUGAUUACCACAAAGUUCUGAGCAAUGUGAUUUUGAUCUUUUAAAACACUUCUUUGCGUGAAAUUCACAGUCCAUGCAAUAUAUACAGAAUGACGAAAGAACUAGAAUAACAAAUUGCUUAAAGUGUUACUGUAUUUUAACCCUAGAGUUCACAAAGUGUGGAGAAAUUCAGCAAGCUCAAGAGAAGAACACAUGAAAAAUAUAUUUUGGUUCUGUCACUCUAUAGUCAUUGCAAUAUUUUACAUAAUGAUAAUGGGUAUUCUAAUGACUCUUGAUGCCCUGUUAUAUUCACCGUUGAAUAAAAUAUAGCAAUAUUUGUGGACGUGGAAAUGUAUUCCUUCUUAUUCAAUCCUAUGCAGUCAUACUGCUGGAAUAUCAAAUGUGCCUCUAUCUUUCGUUUUAUUCUUUUUCUCUGUUCUUAUUCAGCUCUUGUCUGUCUUUCAUCUAUUUGCAUUCUACUCAAUCCAAGAAGACAUUCUCAUACUUUUUUAAAUCUCAGACUUUCCUCACUAGAUUUCUUAAACACUGACAAUAGUCAGGUACUUUGAUUUUAUGGCAUCAAGUAGCUGUAUCCAUUCCCCCACAUUUUCUAAAGUGUAAUUGAGUAGCUCGCUUUCUGUUCCUUUCUACCUGGUGAAUUCUGAAUCUUUUCAAGUCAUCUUGCAGUUUUUCAUGAACUCAUUCUUGCAGAAAACUAUUAAAUAGUACUUAUUUUUAUCUCUUUUCUGUUCUAACAGCUUUUUUUUAACUUCUUACCCUCUCUGUUUUCCAUAUACACAUCUUAACUUAUCCUUUAUUUUUUUAUGAGGCCCUUCAAUAUAGGUCCUCGGAUUCUCAUCAACUGCCAUCCCAACUUUAAACAUGUAUUUUAAAUAGCCUGUAUAUAUUUCAAUGUGUCUCCUGCUUGAGUCCUAAUCCUGCUCAUUAUACUUAUCAGUCCAAUAAUUUGUAUAUAAGUACUGCGUGCUAACCAAUUGAGCCAUUGGAACGAGCACCUCUACUAAUUUUUAAAGGAACAUUUUCCAAAAAGGAAGUAAAAGAAGAGGUUGAGGAAUACGAAUGUUAUGAGCUUACUUUUUACCAAGUGAGGAAAGCACGGAGGUGAAAGGAAAGUGGUAGAAAGAAAAUGAGCGUUUUAGAGUUCACAAUGGGAAAGAAGAGUGAGUAUGUUUUCUAGUCUUUGGAAAAGCAUACUUAAAGAAACUAGAAGAAAAGUUCAUCACGAUUCCUUAGCCAGAUUAUUGAGAACACAAACCCUAGUGAACAUUUGGACAUAUUGAGAGUGUAAUUAUAAUCAUACUAAUUUUAAUAGUUUUGCAAAACUCUCCAGCCAUUAUUCUGAGUGGUGUAGUUUGCUCAACAAUUUUGAGUAUCACAGAUGUCUUUCAGAACAUUAUGAAUUCUAGUGAUCCUAUCCUAUUCUCGCCCCACUAAAAUAUAUAUAUAUGUAUUGCAUUGAAUAUAGAUUAAUAUGUAUAUUCUGUUGCUAUUUAUACAGAAUUACAUAUACGUCAAACUCAUAUAUAUAGUAUCAUGUACAAACAUCAUAUCUAUCUAUCUAUACAUAUCUUCAAACAUUACAUAUAACAUCAUGUAGUUUUUAUGGCCAUUGAAGCCAAAAUAUUUGCUUGGGUAUGGUAUUGGAGAUCCAACUCAAAGAUCUCACGAAAGUUUUUUUUUUCUCAUGAAAGUUAAAAUUCGUAUAUGAUGAGCUUACAGUGAUUUUACCUAUUGAACUCUUAGAACUUCUUACCUGAAACUUUUCUUACAUUUUUUUUUUUUUUUUUUUGGUACCGGGGAUGGAACUCGGGACCGUGCGCUUGCAAGGCAGGUGGCAAAACCACUGAGCUAAAUCCCUGGCCCUAUCUGGAACUUUUCAUCAUAUUAUUUCCUGACUACUAACGUACCAGACACGUCCUGCUCUUACUCCUAGACUAUAUCUUCUUUGAAAACGGGACUUACAUGUGCAUUGCAGACAGAGGUUGAAAGAAUGAAGGAAACUAGUUGUAGGAAGAAGUGGAACAUAUAACUACCAGUGAAUAUAAAUGGGAAAUUACUAUAUUAAGCACAAAAUCCAGAGAUAACUGGUGAAAUAAACCGAAAGUUUAAAAAUUAUUUUUUAAAGAUCCAUAAUAUGUCCAUCUGAGAAGAUGGUAAAGUUUUGAGACAGUUUUUUUUUGUUUUUAAGCUAUCAAGGAAAAUAAUUUUUAAAGGGAAAGUAUGUUUCAGAGAAAAUUAUAAUUUAAGAGCGGUCAUGGAAUAAUUGGAAAUCAUUUAAUUUCUUUAGGGGAUUUUAGUUUUCUAACUGUUCGGUAGAUCGUAUGACAAUAAAACAAUCAGGGAACUGGAAAAAACAUCUUUUACCUCUGAAGAAAAGUGGGCAGAGGGUAAUCAGUAAAAUUUGCGUAAAAAGCAAACUUUAUGAAGAGGAAAAAGAUGGACUUCAACUGUGGACCAAGAAAAUUAGGGUGUCAGAGAAAGCCGUGAAAAUAGGAAGCUAGCAUUGGUCCAUAAAGAACCAGUUAAACCAAGCUAGUUUCAUUUAUAAAGCACGGCUUGUUCAUUGUGACUCUUUCCUCACUUUCUCCUGAGUGCUACCAUCCAUAAAUGCACCAGCAGGGAAUGCGCCAAGGCGAGUCUGCCAUCUCCCUCUUGAUGUCAAGUAAAGCUUCAGUUCCUAGUGCUGUUUCCACACCCUCCCUGCCCGUGACUGGACAGGGCUUCCCGUAAUGGCCCUGUUAUUUCCCUUUCGUGAGCUCUCCUAAUAUCUCCUACUCUCCCACUCAGCUCCUUCAGUUGCUGGCUUACAUUUAAUUUGUAGAACCACCCCUACAAAUCUGUUUUCAAAAUAUCACCUAAGGAGUUUCUAAAUAAGUUACUGAACUUAAAGCUGUCAGAUAUUCGAACAGACUAAUAAGUGUUAAUAAUGCACAUUUAUAAUAUCGAUUGCAUCAGUAUUGCUUGAUGUACUUUGGUAAUGUGCUUUGGGUUUAAUGAACUUUGGUAAAUAAAAAGUAAAUGGAGGGAGUAGAGGGAGGGAGGGGCAGGGGACAGAAGAGGAAUGCAGAUGUGUCUUGGCCGCGGCCUUGGGCCAGCCCCUCACGAGGAAUGUGAACACUAUGUGCUCCAGACAUGGACAAAGAGAAGGAAGGGGACCAAGACCUGCACAGAAGGGAAGGGAGGGGCGGAAUAGAGGAUGGAAAGGGAACGAAGAUGCCUCACGUACACGGACCCGCUCCGAACAUGGAAUGCGACCGUGACCUACUACAGACAGCCCACACACAGCUGAGGAAGGGUGAGCCAUCUGUGACCAUGGUACAACAAGCAUGAAGAUAAAAGCUUGCGUGGAAUGAUGAAGCAGGAAGGUGGAAGUGGCCUAGACUGCCUAUCUUCAAAUGUCACAUUAAUAAAAUAAAUGGCUAUCAUAAUGUUAAACU